GUGCGUCAAUUUGUUGCGGCCAACUCUCCAUCAUCUGUCAUCGAUAACGAGCACCUGUAAGACAGCAUCCACACAGACCGAAUUGGUGUCCGACGGAGACCCUCCGAUGCUUAAGUCAGAGAAGAAAGUUGGUGAACAGUAAUUUUUGAAUGUAGAAAGUAGCAGAGUUCUGGUCCAGAGAUGGCUUACCAGUACUGCUCACUCACCUCCUUUUUAUAGAUGGUUCUGGUGUAAUUGUUGAGCACGUGAUUCUGC
rnacentral:lncRNA from 1 species